rnacentral:lncRNA from 1 species
UUUCUUUUUUGAGUCGCAAGUCGCCAUAUUCUGAAUUGUAAGUUCACUCACAAGUUUUUUUUUUUGGAGAAGUAGUUCACUCACAAGCUGAGGGGGAUAAUUAGAGACAGGUUAUAUAGGCCGAAGAGAAGCAAAUAUGGGCCCUGCAAGCAAAUCGGGAAGUUGGCCCAGUACAUCUAGCCGAAGGCUGAGCCCACAGAUAAGCAAAUAUGGCCCGUGUAAAUUACCAAUCGAACAGCCCACGACUUAUCUGGUUCUCUCUCCGACACCGAGAGGAAACAUGUUUGGUACCCUGCCGUGCCGCGUACGUGUCCGACACGACUCGCACCUCCUUAGGGCAACCAGUAUAUAUACACGUCCUACGCCCCCAACCCUGCAACGCCAACACACUUUCCGCUAGUUCCAUCGCCUGCCGCCGUAAGAUCAUCGUCGUCGACAUCGUCGAGAGCUUUUGGAUCAACUUCGUCUUUCAGUCGUCGCCGCCAAGGUAUCAACAAUGCCGCCCAAGCCUCUCAAGAAGCCCAAGGCCCAGAAGAAAGAGUACGACGAGGUAUGUAGCGCUGAUCUACGAGCGUAUGCACCACCCCUGUUUGUUUAUUUAUUUUCUUUCAAAAAUCAAAGGUUAACUAGAUGGUCGCCGAUUACGACGAUUUGCUUCUUCGUACCUGACGAGCCUGGGUUUUCUCUGUUGUGCAGACCGAUCUGGAGAACUUGAAGAAGAAGGAGGACGAGAAGGCCGUCAAGGAGCUCAAGGCCAAGGCCGCGCAGAAGGGCCCGCUAGGAGGCGCCGGUCUCAAGAAGAGCGGCAAAAAGUGAUCCUGCUCGUUUUCCAAAACUUAGUUAUCUGUACUUAGAAGCUUCUGAAAAAUGGCCGACGAAUACUACUUUAGAUAGUACUAGUUGAUUUGGUUUCAGUGUUUGGGGUCUCCUUUUUCCUGUACGAAUUGAGUUUUUGACGACACUAAGCUAUAAGUUUGCAUGAGCUAAAUUA